UUGAACUGUAUGGAGUGUGAGCUUCAACAUAUAGACAAUGAUUUAAUGUUUUGAUAGAAAUGCAUAUUUUAGAAGAAUGUAUAUGUAAGAACGGUUACUGUACUAAGCACUUGUUAUUUUGACAACCUUUAUUAUCGGGUUUCCUUAUUUACUUUUGCUAGCAGAAUUAAAAAUUUCUUAUCGUCUAGUAUGGAUGAUUCAAUGCUGACUUCAGGAAGUAAUAUUUUACUUCAAAGUAACCUU